rnacentral:rRNA from 1 species
UGACCUCAAAUCAGGUAGGACUACCCGCUGAACUUAAGCAUAUCAAUAAGCGGAGGAAAAGAAACUAACAAGGAUUCCCCUAGUAACUGCGAGUGAAGAGGGAAAAGCUCAAAUUUAAAAUCUGGCAGCUUCGCUGUCCGAGUUGUAAUUUAGAGAAGUGUUACCCGUGCUGGACCGUGUACAAGUCUUCUGGAACGGAGCGUCAUAGAGGGUGAGAAUCCCGUCUUUGACACGGACUACCAGUACAUUGUGGUACACUCUCAAAGAGUCGUGUUGUUUGGGAAUGCAGCACUAAAUGGGUGGUAAAUUCCAUCUAAAGCUAAAUAUUGGCGAGAGACCGAUAGCAAACAAGUACCGUGAGGGAAAGAUGAAAAGAACUUUGGAAAGAGAGUUAAACAGUACGUGAAAUUGUUAAAAGGGAAACGCUUGAAGUCCAGUCGCGUUGGUUGGAAAUCAGUCUUGCUUUUGCUUGAUGUACUUUCUAAUUGACGGGUCAACAUCAGUUUUGACCGUUGGAAAAAGAUUAGAGGAAUGUGGCAUCUUCGGAUGUGUUAUAGCCUUUAGUUGUAUACAACGGUUGGGACUGAGGAACUCAGCACGCCGAAAGGCCAGGUACUUGUACCAUGUACGUGCUCAGGA